UUAUGCGCACCAAUGGUAAGGAUGGCAGAAUCUGGCGGGAAUCGUUGACACUGGCCGUCAACUGGCUACUAUCGACAGUGAUUCAAAAUCAUCCGUUUCUCCAAACGAAUCAGAAUCAAAUGUCUGUCAGCAGUAAGUGAACGGCCUGACCUCACCAAUCAGGCCUGUUCAUCCAGUUAGUUGGUAAAUCUGUACCUGAUACACGAGAAUCAAACACCACUUCUUCAGUGCCAUCACCAUGAUGCCGGAUAAUCUGGUAACCGGAUUGCGGGUUCUGGCUCUCAGCUUCAUAAGCAGCCCGGAAUGCUGGAUCUUUGAGAAGCAUCACUUUCUGCUCCUGAUGUGUCAUGAAUUUUUCCAUGAUAAGCCCCGAUGAAUGCUGCCGCGCCGAAUCAGCCAUAACGCUGAAAAUGGAAACUGUACGGCUUGGCCAACCCCGGACAGCAACAAAACAAGUUUUGUCACUGACCGGCGUUAUCUUUCAAAACAGACAGUUAACGAUUUUUUGUCUGGUGUUUAUGCGUGAAAUUUCGUGCGUACGAAAUUCACCACCAAUAAACAAACGGACGAUGACUGACCGGAAAAGCAAUGCCGUCAGCAUCAUGACCACGCAUUACCUGAUUGAGAAGCCUUCUGACUUCACGGCGCUCAGGCCUGGUCAUCAUCAUAUUGCGAUACCAGGACGGCGAUUUAUCAAACCAUCUGGCACAACUGGCAAAAUGUGAACCUACACGACGAUAAGACUUAAGGCGGCCACCGGGAAGUCGGUCACGCGCCUUAUUUUUUACAGACAUAAUAAAUCCUCUAAGUAACUGAAUACCUAGAAGAUGUCGUACUGUUCAUACCCCAUAAAA
rnacentral:rRNA from 1 species